rnacentral:rRNA from 1 species
UACGGGGGGGGCAAGCGUUGUUCGGAAUUACUGGGCGUAAAGGGCUCGUAGGUGGCCAACUAAGUCAGACGUGAAAUCCCUCAGCUUAACUGGGGAACUGCGUCUGAUACUGGAUGGCUCGAGUGUGGGAGAGGAAUGCGGAAUUCCAGGUGUAGCGGUGAAAUGCGUAGAUAUCUGGAGGAACACCGGUGGCGAAGGCGGCAUUCUGGACCAUAACUGACACUGAGAGACGAAAGCCAGGGGAGCAAACGGG